rnacentral:rRNA from 1 species
GCGACCCCAGGAUGGGYGAGGCCACCCGCUGAGUUUAAGCAUAUCAAUAAGCGGAGGAGAGAAACUUACGAGAUC